rnacentral:lncRNA from 1 species
AUCAAACGGGAUGUGUAGAACUACAAUAAAGUUUAAAUUCACAUAGCAAUUCAGAUUUCUCAAACAGUCGCUUCGCAACAAAUAAAAUAAAAGUAUAAGUAGCUCCCCUUACCUGGUACCGCGCUCCAGUACAACUAAAUGGAGACUUUCUAUCAGUGCCCUCACAGGACAGAACCAAUACCUAUAAAUCACCAAAUUUGUGAUAGAGACAGCCUUUUAGAGCUAGAACAUACGGAGAAGGGAAAACAAAGUACGAAAAGCACAUGCAACCAGAAAAAUUGGGUGCCCUAGAUCAAGACAGUGAAGAGAAAGGGGAAAAUUUACUUACCCGAUGAAAUGAAUAAAUUGUUCGGUGGGAAUUAAUGAUUUUGCAGCAACAAAACAGAUAUUCAACAAUUCAGUCUGCUAGAAUUUGAGAGAGAAGACAGAACAUUUGAGUUUGGGCAAGGUUUCUGUUAUAGAAAGGAAUUUACAGAAUGAAAAUCUAACUUCUGAAAAGAAAAGGUCUUCCCUUCUAAGGCUGAAGCUCCCCUAAAGUUAUGAGUCUGGCUGCCUAUUUAGACCCAAUGGCCCUUAUUAUUAUUAUUA